GAGGAACCGUGCGCAAGCGCCGCUCAGAGUCUACGCUAGAACUGCUCUCUCUGCGCUUGCGCAACGCCGUUUCCACUGAAAAAUUAGCCACAUGUGCGGUUCUCGCUGCCUUCUGGGAGGUGGAGCUACGGGAGGCGGCGGGGUCCUACGGGCUUCUGGUAUCAGCCCGGUGGCCAGCCCGCCCAGGACCAGCACUCCGUUCUCUCACCUGACAGCUCAGCAGUACUACGCGAAUUAUUUUCACUGGGUCCUAACCUCACCACAGGGCACAAGCUCUCUCUCCACCAAAGGGCAAGAAAACCAGAUCGACAAAAGGCUGUGCAAAUUCAAUGGUAUUUAUUCCCUACCUACACCCAAAGCGUACUGCUCUGCAUCAGGAAGCUCAGUAAAUGACUAAAAAGCUA